UACGUAGGGGGCAAGCGUUGUCCGGAUUUAUUGGGCGUAAAGAGCGUGUAGGCGGCCAGAUAGGUCGGUUGUGAAAACUGGAGGCUCAACCUCCAGACGUCGACCGAAACCAUCUGGCUAGAGUCCGGAAGAGGAGAGUGGAAUUCCUGGUGUAGCGGUGAAAUGCGCAGAUAUCGGAAGGAACAUCAGUGGCGAAAGCGACUUCCUGGACCAGUACCGACGUUCAGGCACGAAAGCGUGGGGAGCAAACAGGA
rnacentral:rRNA from 1 species